rnacentral:ncRNA from 1 species
ACGCAGGAAGCCGAAAAUGCGGACAAAGAGUAGGCG